CUCUUAUCGAUAAGCCAUUGGAGGGCAAGUCUGGUGCCAGCAGCCGCGGUAAUUCCAGCUCCAAUAGCGUAUAUUAACGUUGUUGCAGUUAAAAAGCUCGUAGUUGAAGUGAGGGAGUGUGUGUUCAUGAGAGCUAGUCUCGAGUGUUCACAACCUCCCCCCUCCAAUCGGUGUAGUGGGGUAUUCAGUUAUUUCACUACUCCUUUGGUCGUUUACUGUGAGAAAAUUAGAGUGUUCAAAGCGGGCGUUUGUUUGAAUAGAUUAGCAUGGAAUAAUGAUUGAAGGCUUUCGUGUUCGAUUUGAUUGGUUUGUUCAUGGAAGCAAGGUUAAAAGGAACAGUUGGGGGUAUUCAUAUUCACUAGUUAGAGGUGAAAUUCUCGGAUUUAUGGAAGAUGAACAAGUGCGAAAGCAA
rnacentral:rRNA from 1 species